GGGAACUAAUCCUUUCACUGCUCCUAGUAGCAUACCAAACACUAUAACCAGUAUUACAACACCUAAAACUGAUGCACAACCUAAAAUAAACCGUCGAUUUACAUCUCCUGAAGGGACUCGGUCCCCAUCCAUUACUGCAACCCACUCCCCAGAGCUUAGUUGCUGCACAUCAAGUUGAUGACUGCGGGCACCAUUCCAGGCAUUCCGUCCCUUCAUU
rnacentral:misc_RNA from 1 species